rnacentral:lncRNA from 1 species
GUGGAUUUCAAUAAGAAAAUUUAUUUGCAAAGUGCAUAAAUCGAGAUGUUAUUGAAUUGCUAUCUUGUUAACAUUUGCCAUAUAGUUCCUUCUUCCCUAAACAAUAAAUGUGAUAAAAAGAAAUCAGAAAUGCCUAUGACAAAAAUCCAUUCACAUCUCCCAAAUGCUGGAGGUUGAUUAUAAGGUUAGCGUCUUAUUUAUUUUUAAAAUCUACCUCUUUUUCAUUAAUUUCUUUUUAACAUUGCCCUUCAUUUACAGAUGUUAAAUAAACAAUAAGCAAAAUACAAAAAUUAACCAAAAUAUACAAUAAUUAAUUUUUAUUGUUUGGUAAUUUUCUAACAGCUUAAAGGACAAACACAUCAUCUUUUGAGUGUCAAUAUAACAUCUUUACAGGACAUAUUUGCAAGGAAUAGCCUUAUACUUUAGAGAUAGCUCAUUACUGUUAAAUGACUUGACCAAUUACUUUGAAUUGAUAUUCACUUCUUGUGUAUCAUUUCUUUACAUCAAUGCAUAAAUCACUGGCUUUG